rnacentral:rRNA from 1 species
GACAGAGGGGGCAAGCGUUGUCCGGAGGGACUGGGCGUACAGCGCGCGCAGGCGGACCGGAACGUGCCAUGUUACAGCCCUGCGCUCACCGCAGGGUGGCCACGGUAGACGUCCGGUCUGGAGGCAGGGAGAGGGAUGUGGAAUACCCGGUGGAGCGGUGAAAUGCGUAGAGAUCGGGUGGAACACCAGUGGCGAAGGCGGCAUCCUGGCCCUGACCUGACGCUGAAGCGCGAGAGCGUGGGGAGCAAACGGG